UGCUGAGUACUUGUGCGUCAAGGAAUUUCGUGGCAGCACUUUAAGCACACUGGUGGCUGUUUCUUUAUAUUACAAUAGCAGCAAGAAGUCUCGCAAUUACUGCUGCACCCUAUGACAAGAGAAUCUUGUCAAUUUUGUUGAGAAAUUAUAUAUUUUUUGUUACCUAAUCUGUUCUUUAUGCUAGGUCAUAAAAGAUUUAGUUAAAAACACGUUAACGCAACUUUGUCACAGAAGCCUUUUUAGUUACAUAUCUAAGUUGCUUACCUGUGACAGUUAUGUACUGCGAGGAGUCAAGCGUUUGUGGAUUUAUGAGCAAUGGAAGCCGUGUGCUCGCUUCAACAUCAUUCCCGAGUUGAAGGCAA
rnacentral:lncRNA from 1 species